CUUUAUNAUUUAGAGGAAGGAGAAGUNGUAACAAGGUUUCCGUAGGUGAACCUGCGGAAGGAUCAU
rnacentral:rRNA from 1 species